rnacentral:lncRNA from 1 species
CAACUCUGUUCUCUUUGUCUCCACAGCUCCAGCACCCGUUUAAGUCCUCAGUUUUACCGUAAGGACCCAGAUUCAUCUACAGGGCCAGAGUGUGACCUCAAGAGGGUGGUGUCAGCUCAAAGGCCACUCAGCUGCUCUCAGCUGUCUUUGCUGGAAUGGAAAGAGAUCUUGUUGUAAGAGGAGCGUUGGAUGAACCAGCCCCAACCCAGGGUCUAGAGUUUGAGGAGUGACAAGGGCAGAUCUCUAAGGAAGCGAAACUCCUCUGAGACCCGACAGGGAACCAGCUUCCUCGAGGAACCUGAGUGAAAGGAGGACCUGUCACCUGAGCCUCCUCAGGUCAUCCAUCGUCCUCGAAGGAUCCAUCCUGAGGCAUCAACUGAAAAUUAUGGCUCCUGAGAAAGAAUAAAGCACACUGUUCACUGCCAGGAUGAGUGUCCCUGUGGCAGCAUCUAGAGCUUGCCUGUUGCUCCUGCUAACGACCUCUGUCCCCCGUGUGGCCCUUUCUUUCUGUCACUUCUGUAGCUGUACUGUUGACAACUCUUCUCUAGGUGUCUCUGAAGCCCUGAAAGGCCUCUCAGCUUGGCAUGGCCCCCCGCCCCGCCCCAGCUCGCUCUCUUGAUGCCCAUGUGUGUGACUUGACAGCAUUCCUGCCUUGCUGGCCCACUGCCCCACUCCAAGGAAGGACGCUCUCAAGGUCCAGGUCCCUGGCAGGUAAACAGCAAAGUUUCAGAUUCACAGACAUCCUCUCCCUCCUGCACCAACUGCCCACCAGGAAAGUGGGAGCUUGGCGCUGCUUGCAAAGGACUAGGUGAUGUAUGAGCCUGUCUGCGGGCGCCAGGUCCUGAUCUGUGUCCCUGUGAAUAAGAAGCCACUUAAGAGUGUCAGGCAAUCAGGGACUGCCCCUCCUCCUGCCUUCGACCUUGCCUCAGCUUUUGUGGAGUCUGUGGGGUGAUGUGAUAGAGGCUGUGUAGUCAGAUCAGCACCACAGAGGGAGAACAUGGAGAUGGUGUGGUCUCUCCUCCCCAACAGCGUAUUCUGUGUUGCUAGUGUGAGUGCUGCCCAGGGACCCACGAGAUCAGUGUUGACCAAUAGAACUGGGUGAAGGACGUGGGAAUUUGGGUCAGAGACUUCUAUCAGAAGAUGAAAGUCAUCCAGGCAGAGCCUACUGAUUCUGUCCCACACAAUCCACUCUGCCCUCAGUGAAUGAGCAUCAAGUCGAUGGUGAAUGUGGCAUUGACCUAUACCUGCUUUGAGCAUGGGUCUGUCUCCUGCCCUGUGCCCCAGUGUUAAACACACCAUCCUGGUGACAGUGUUAUGUCCCUGUAGGAGAACAUGGAUGCUGGCACAUCUGAGAUUUACCCCGGGGAGAGCAGAGCCUCGCAUGAGACAUGAGUGCAGUCAGCAUCCAGGCUUUGCAGGGCACACCACAUCCCAGGACACCACACGUGAGGGUAGCCAAGGGAGGCCACUGUUGCUAGCUUCUCUUGCCUCCUGUCCCUAACCAGCUUGGUCACUUUCCAGAGUCAUUUCCCCUGGCCUCCAGGUUGGGACAUCUGGCAGGAUCCAGGAAUCCUGACGUCACACUCACAAUUUAACUGUCCACAUGUUUUCUUUCUGUGUAGAACAGGAAACAGUGAGACAGUGUCCAGGCAAUUUCGUCCCAGAUGUGUGACAUACAGGAUCUUAGAUAGCUGCGAGCUGACAGGCCUUUCUACACAAAAGCCCUCACAGUCCUUCCCGAUUGCUUUGAUAGGCUCUGGGCAGGACUCGGAGGUUGAGGUCUGCAGCACUGGGUGAUGGGGUAUACCUUGAGACAUGCAAAGUCCCAAAGCACGAACAGGCUACCUAGAAAGUUCUUCAGGUGAAAUGGAGACAAUAGCUCCUGGAACUAAGCCCUUCGCACCUACCAUUCUGAAACCCAAGAAUGGUUCCCUGGUUGAUAAAGGCUGCAGUAUGUCUCCCAGAGCCUCUCUUCACGCUCACCAUGGGCUUGUUUCCCCAGGGCGGCUGGGCAGUGGGUAGCACAGUGUUUGCUGGGUAUUGCAGAGCAAGGAAGGGUGUGAAUGGCCUUGAGAAAGCCCUUCGCAAUCCAGGGCCCUACAGGCCUGCAGGGGAGAGACCCAGCAGAGAAUAGGAAUCUGAUGGGUGAGACCAUUUUCCUUAAGCAAGGCUGGCAGGACUGUGUGCGUGCGUGCGUGUGUGUGUGUGUGUGUGUGUGUGUGUGUGUGUGUGUGUAACAUGCUAAUCAAUACUAUCUUUUGAAGAGAGGAAAGGAGGUUGGUUCCUGACAGAGUUGUGAGGAGGAUGGAGAGGAGAAGACCCUGGCGCAGACCCCCACCUGGCCCCACCUCCUGCGAGGGUAUCACUGUUGGUUCACUCUGACUCUGUAUUCACCUGACGUGCUGAGGAGCCUGGGCAGGCUCUCGUGAUCACACCCGCUCUGCUGGGCUGGCCCUUGUACCAGCAAGGAGGCCCAGGAGGCUCCAGUGCUUCUGCUCCUGCUCUGUUCACCCCUCCCCCGUGCCUGGUGUUCACACAGGCUCCCAGUGGCCUGGGACUGAUGUCUUCUUACUU